CUCUCUCUCUCUCUCUCUCUCUCUCUCUCAGGAAUGAUGUCAUGACUUCAGAUAUCGAUUAACAGUGUCAGGAAUAACAUCACAAGUUUCGGGAAUAACAUCACAAGUUUCGGGAAUUUUGUCACCUUUAAAAAUUACCCCAAAGUCUCAGAAAUGUUUUAUUCUUUAUUUUUCUCUCUCGUUUUAUCAUUGUGACGCCACUUCCACUUUUUGUUUUCCUUUCUUUUCUAAUCUUUCACAAUGGCAAGCCCUGUGACGGGUUUGUUGUCGUCCUUUUUUCUUAUCUUUCUUUCUCAAUGGCAAGACGCAUCCGUUCUGAGGCGCCUAAGAAAGGAAAACAGAGAUAGGGACCUUCGACUUUCUUUAUCACGGGAUGGAGUAAACAAAAGUCGGAGAGGUCAUUCUUAGGAUGGCUCACAUAUAUCUCUCUCUCUCACCUUUCAACAUCAUUCACCAGCUUCUAUGAGAAUAUAUAUAUACACACACACUCACAUCCUCAACCCCCCUCACCUCCUCCUCCUCCUCCUCCUCAAAUUUUCCGACUUACUUUAUCAAGGGAUGGAUGGAAAGGGCAUUCUCAAAAUAGCUCAUCUCUCACCUUCUCACAUCCUCCAGCCAGCUUCCACACCCCCCCUCUCACAUCCCACUCACUCUCAGCCCCCCCACUCACAUCCUCUCACACGACAUUGGCCCACAUCCUCAAACAUUUCGGGGUAUACGCACUAACAUUUAAUAAGGCUUUCGUAGUUGUUAGAGUACUUCCUCCUGAAAAUGAUUUAUCUUUUUGGCCACUCUACUCUAUUCAGGAGCAGUAAGUAUGUUUUUUUUUUUUCAUUAUUGUUGUUUUUUUACGCCCUUGCACUGUCUCCUCUGCUGUAUAAAAAAAAAAAAUAAAUUAAACUUCCACGGGUAGUUUUGUGUGCCUAGUAACAGUUCGACAAGGCAUUGCACCAUGAAUGUGAAAAGCACUCUUAAGAAAUCAACUAAUCUCCUCUGUGACCUUGAGAAUGCAUCUGAGAACAGUAUAAAAUAUGGAUACUUUAGACGUCUCGAGAGCAUCAGUGCUUUUUAUUCCACCUCGAGAAUGCAGGCUCAAGAGGCUAGAUUCUAAGCUCCCCAGGUGGAUUAGCUCAUUCCUAGCAUUCACUGGGUAUAAGGUGAAGUCUGUCUGGCUGCGCUGCGCCGACUUGCCACGUAGAGUAGGGAAGGGAGAGUGGACCAAGGAAAGGAAUCCAUCACCAUCGUCUUCCUCAAACAGCUCUGCCUAUUGUCCAUAUUCUUCGUCUCUCGCUCCCAUCACGACUAUUUCCCAAGGCCACAGAGAAGAUUAUCCGGGUUUUCAUGGGUUGUUUUCCAAUUCAUGGCGCAGAAUUCGUGUAAAACUAUCACCAGGAUCACAAAACAGACCAUAAAACUCACAGAGGCUUUUCAAAUAGGGGAACUGAGGCGCCGAAACGUUAAAAAAUGCGGGCUAUGUGUGUGAUAUAGAUCUUGUGUGUGUGUGUGUGUGUGUGUGUGUGGCAUGAGUGGGUAGGUCGUCUUCUUUUUUUAUAGUAGAGGAAGCAGCUCAAGGGCGAAACAUAAAGAGACAAAAAAAUCCGCCAUGUACUGCUCCUGUACAGACAAUAGAAGGAGAGGCCACAAAGAGAGGGUCAAUGUGGAAUGUUUGCAUAGGUAUAAAAAUUGUUAGUAUUGGUAUAGAACGUGUUUGUAUAGGUGCAGAAAUUGUUUGUAUUGGUAUAGAACAUUGGUGCUCAACCUUUUUUGGGUGGUAGGGCCACAUUAGAUGGGCAAUGUGUGAUGAGGGCCUCGUAUUGCCUGCAAUGUGAAUACGCAUAGUAAUUAAUAUAUUCUACACACUGAUAACACUGAUUAUGUUGUGUAUAUAUUGUAACCUUCCGGGUAGAGUCGUAAUCAAAACACUUCUCACAUAAAUUGCAGGUCAUGGGGAAAUGGCCAAUUAUAAGCUACAGUAAAGUGAAGACCUGUAAUUAUACAAGCGACAACAUUUCGCUGUUGGGCAGGGAGAGGAGACACGUGGAGCGGCUGCGGGGUGCCGGGAGGGUGGGCUAGGAGUGGAUGGGCAACGGUGGGGAAGGCUAGGAAGGGAGUGGCUGGGUAGGAGAGGGGUAGGGAGCCAGAGACCAAGACUGAUUGAGAGGAUAAGUGGGGAGAUGAGAGGGCAGGGGCAUGAGCGUAGGGAGUAGCCAGGCAGGAGAGAAUUUCCAAAAAAAGCCUUGAUUAGCCUGUUUUCAAGGGAAAAAGCCAAGGCGCCAAGGUCCCAGCUCAAAAGCCAAGAUCUAAUAAAAAAUGCCAAGGAGCGGCAACGCUGGGCACGUCAACAAAAUCAGUGAGGCUAGCCAGCAUUCAGGCUGCCAGAUGUGCAAUAGCCUUUUUAUCAUUAUAAUACUAUAACCUCAUAAAGUUAACAUAUAAUAACAUAUUCAGUAAUAUCAACCAUAAUAUAAUUUAUAUUGCUGCAUAUCAUCAAAAUUAAAUGUGAACAAACAGUACGUAUUAUGAUUGUGAUAAGUAGGCUAUUUUUGGUUACUUGCCGAGGGCCGCAUUAAACUUCCUUGAGGGCCGCAAACGACCCUCAGUGGGUUGAGGACCACUGGUAUAGAGCGUGUUUGUAUAGGUAUAAUAAUUGUUUGUAUUGGUAUAGAACGUGUUUGUAUAGGUAUAAUAAUUGUUUGUAUUGGUAUAGAACGUGUUUGUAUAGGUAUAAUAAUUGUUUGUAUUGGUAUAGAACGUGUUUGUAUAGGUAUAAUAAUUGUUUGUAUUGGUAUAGAACGUGUUUGUAUAGGUAUAAUAAUUGUUUGUAUUGGUAUAGAACGUGUUUGUAUAGGUAUAAUAAUUGUUUGUAUUGGUAUAGAACGUGUUUGUAUAGGUAUAAUAAUUGUUUGUAUUGGUAUAGAACGUGUUUGUAUAGGUAUAAUAAUUGUUUGUAUUGGUAUAGAACGUGUUUGUAUAGGUAUAAUAAUUGUUUGUAUUGGUAUAGAACGUGUUUGUAUAGGUAUAGUAUGUGUGUUGAGGUGUUAUUGUUUGUUAUAGGUUCAUGGGUAGUUUUAAUAGUGA